rnacentral:rRNA from 2 species
GUCUUUUAGGAGAAAAAUUAAAAGUCUAAUCUGCCCAAUGAUUUUAUAUUAAAUGGCCGCAGUAAACUGACUGUGCGAAGGUAGCAUAAUAAUUAGUCUUUUAAUUGAAGGCUUGUAUGAAUGAUUGGAUGAGAAAUUUACUUUAUUAAUAAAAUUAUUAUAAUUUAAUUUUUAGGUUAAAAAGCCUAAAUAUUUAAGUUGGACGAGAAGACCCUAUAGAGUUUAAGAAUAUUAUUUUUAAUAUAAUUUUAGAAUUUUUUUAUUUAUAUUAAUUUUUUUAUAUUCUUGUGUUGGGGUGACAUUAAAAAAUUAUUAACUUUUAAUACCUAUUACAUUUAUGUAUGUUUAUGUUGAUCCAAUUUGAUUUUGAUUUAUAAGAAAAAAUUACCUUAGGGAUAACAGCGUUAUUAUUUUUUAGAGUUCAUAUCAAUAAAAUAGUUUGCGACCUCGAUGUUGGAUUAAGAAUAUAAUUUGGAGCAAAAUCUAAAUUUUUAGGUCUGUUCGACCUUUAAAUUCUU